rnacentral:rRNA from 1 species
GACGAACGCUGGCGGCGUGCCUAAUACAUGCAAGUCGAACGAACCGCGACUAAGUGCUUGCACUAAGUCAAGGUGAGUGGCGAACGGGUGAGUAACACGUGGGUAACCUACCUCAUAGUGGGGGAUAACAGUCGGAAACGACUGCUAAUACCGCAUAGGACAUAGGAUCACAUGAUCCAGUGAGGAAAGGUGGCGCAAGCUAUCGCGAAGAGAUGGACCCGCGGUGCAUUAGCUAGUUGGUAGGGUAAAGGCCUACCAAGGCGAUGAUGCAUAGCCGACCUGAGAGGGUGAUCGGCCACAUUGGGACUGAGACACGGCCCAAACUCCUACGGGAGGCAGCAGUAGGGAAUCUUCCGCAAUGGACGCAAGUCUGACGGAGCAACGCCGCGUGAGUGAAGAAGGUCUUCGGAUCGUAAAGCUCUGUUGUUAGAGAAGAACAGCGCAUAGAGUAACUGCUAUGCGUGUGACGGUAUCUAACCAGAAAGCCACGGCUAACUACGUG